GGAUGAACGCUGGCGGCGUGCCUAACACAUGCAAGUCGAACGGGUGUGCGCUGAGGAAGCUCGGCAGAAUCUGCACAACCUAGUGGCGGACGGGUGAGUAACGCGUGGACAACCUGCCCCUGCCUGGGGGACAACAGCCGGAAACGGCUGCUAAUACCGCAUAGGCUCUGCAGACCACAUGGUGAGCAGAGGAAAGGAGAGAUCCGGGGAGGGAUGGGUCCGCGUCCGAUUAGCCAGUUGGCGGGGUAACGGCCCACCAAAGCGACGAUCGGUAGCCGGCCUGAGAGGGCGGACGGCCACAUUGGGACUGAGACACGGCCCAGACUCCUACGGGAGGCAGCAGUGGGGGAUAUUGCACAAUGGGGGAAACCCUGAUGCAGCGAACCGCCGCGUGGGUGAAGAAGCGUUUCGGCGCGUAAAGCCCUAUCAGCAGGGAAGAAAGGCCCGCAAGGGCCGAGACGGUACCUGACUAAGAAGCCCCGGCUAACUACGUGCCAGCAGCUGC
rnacentral:rRNA from 1 species